UAACUUAUUUGGGGCAAAUCCUCAUCAAAUUAUAGCAAGACCAUACUUGAUUGCUCAGAAUCACCUGCGAGAAAUACUAUAUAAAUAAUAACUUUUUAAUAUUUCAAUUAGAGUAUGUC
rfam:Populus trichocarpa isolate Nisqually-1 chromosome 10, whole genome shotgun sequence.